rnacentral:rRNA from 1 species
UGGGGAAUAUUGCACAAUGGGGGAAACCCUGAUGCAGCGACGCCGCGUGAGCGAAGAAGGCUUUCGAGUCGUAAAGCUCUGUCCUAUGAGAAGAUAAUGACGGUAUCAUAGGAGGAAGCCCUGGCUAAAUACGUGCCAGCAGCCGCGGUAAUACGUAUGGGGCGAGCGUUGUCCGGAAUUAUUGGGCGUAAAGGGUACGUAGGUGGUUUUUUAAGUCAGGUGUCAAAGCGUGGAGCUUAACUCCAUUAAGCACUUGAAACUAAUAAACUUGAGUGCAGGAGAGAAAAGUGGAAUUCCUAGUGUAGCGGUGAAAUGCGUAGAGAUUAGGAGGAACACCGGUGGCGAAAGCGGCUUUUUGGCCUGCAACUGACACUGAGGCGCGAAAGCGUGGGGAGCAAACAGG